rnacentral:rRNA from 1 species
AAUCAACGCUGGCGGCGUGCCUAACACAUGCAAGUCGAACGCGAAAGCCCGCAAGGGUAAGUAGAGUGGCGCACGGGUGAGUAACACGUGGACAACCUGCCUUCGAGUGGGGAAUAACCUUCCGAAAGGAGGGCUAAUACCGCAUAACACCUCGGGACACAAGUUCUGGGGUUGAAAAGAGCAAUUUGCUCGAAGAGGGGUCCGGGCCUGAUUAGCUAGUUGGUGAGGUAACGGCUCACCAAGGCUUCGAUCAGUAGCCGUCCUGAGAGGGAGCACGGCCACACUGGAACUGAGACACGGUCCAGACUCCUACGGGAGGCAGCAGUGGGGAAUUUUUGGCAAUGGGCGAAAGCCUGACCAAGCAACGCCGCGUGGGUGAUGAAGUAUCUUGGUACGUAAAACCCUUUCGGCAGGGACGAACCUAAUGACGGUACCUGCGGAAGAGGCCCCGGCUAACUCCGUGCCAGCAGCCG